GGGGUGCGAUCAUACCC
rnacentral:rRNA from 1 species